UCCGGUUUGUCACCGGCAGUCCCAUUAGAGUGCUCAACUAAAUGUGGCAACUAAUGGCAAGGGUUGCGCUCGUUGCGAGACUUAACCCAACAUCUCACGACACGAGCUGACGACAACCAUGCACCACCUAUCGCAGGCCCCGAAGGACACCGUAUCUCUACGGCUUUUCCUGCAUAGUUCAACCCAGGUAAGGUUCUUCGCGUUGCAUCGAAUUAAGCCACAUACUCCACCGCUUGUGCAGGCCCCCGUCAAUUUCUUUGAGUUUCAGCCUUGCGGCCGUACUCCCCAGGCGGGGCACUUAAUGCGUUAGCGACGGCACUCAGGGGGUCGCUCCCCCAAGCACCUAGUGCCCAUCGUUUACGGCGUGGACUAC
rnacentral:misc_RNA from 1 species